rnacentral:pre_miRNA from 1 species
AAGGUACUCCCUCCGUCCCAAAAUUCUUGUCUUAGAUUUGUCUAAAUACGGAUGUAUCAAGUCACGUUUUAGUAUUAGAUACAUCCGUAUCUAGACUAAUCUAAGACAAGAAUUUUGGGACGGAGGGAGUAUGGU